rnacentral:rRNA from 1 species
AAUGAACGCUGGCGGCAUGCCUAACACAUGCAAGUCGAACGAAGGCUUCGGCCUUAGUGGCGCACGGGUGCGUAACGCGUGGGAAUCUGCCCUUGGGUUCGGAAUAACAGUUAGAAAUGACUGCUAAUACCGGAUGAUGUCGUAAGACCAAAGAUUUAUCGCCCAAGGAUGAGCCCGCGUAGGAUUAGCUAGUUGGUGGGGUAAAGGCCUACCAAGGCGACGAUCCUUAGCUGGUCUGAGAGGAUGAUCAGCCACACUGGGACUGAGACACGGCCCAGACUCCUACGGGAGGCAGCAGUGGGGAAUAUUGGACAAUGGGCGAAAGCCUGAUACAGCAAUGCCGCGUGAGUGAUGAAGGCCUUAGGGUUGUAAAGCUCUUUUACCCGGGAUGAUAAUGACAGUACCGGGAGAAUAAGCUCCGGCUAACUUCGUG